UACAGAGGGUGCAAACGUUGCUCGGAAUUAUUGGGCGUAAAGCGCACGUAGGCGGUUCGUUAAGUCGGAUGUGAAAGCCCUCGGCUCAACUGAGGAAGUGCACCCGAAACUGGCGAGCUUGAGUACGAAAGAGGAUCGCGGAAUUCCCGGUGUAGAGGUGAAAUUCGUAGAUAUCGGGAGGAACACCGGUGGCGAAGGCGGCGAUCUGGGUCGAUACUGACGCUGAGGUGCGAAAGCGUGGGGAGCAAACAGG
rnacentral:rRNA from 1 species